UACGGAGGGUGCGAGCGUUGUCCGGAAUCAUUGGGCGUAAAGGGCGCGUAGGUGGCCCGGUCAGUUCGUGGUGAAAGCGCGGGGCUCAACUCCGCGUCGGCCAUGAAUACUGCUGGGCUUGAGCACUGUAGAGGCAGGCGGAAUUCCGGGUGUAGCGGUGGAAUGCGUAGAGAUCCGGAAGAACACCGGUGGCGAAGGCGGCCUGCUGGGCAGUGACGUAAGGUCUUAAAAGCUGACGCUGAGGUCGCGACAGCGUGGGGAGCAAACAGG
rnacentral:rRNA from 1 species